rnacentral:rRNA from 1 species
AUUGAACGCUGGCGGCAUGCUUUACACAUGCAAGUCGAGCGGCAGCGCGGGGGGCAACCCUGGCGGCGAGCGGCGAACGGGUGAGGAAUACAUCGGAACGUACCCCGGAGUGGGGGAUAACGCCGCGAAAGCGGCGCUAAUACCGCAUAUGCUCUGAGGAGGAAAGUGGGGGACCUGCAAGGGGCCUCACGCUCUGGGAGCGGCCGAUGUCCGAUUAGCUAGUUGGUGGGGUAAAGGCCCACCAAGGCGACGAUCGGUAGCUGGUCUGAGAGGAUGAUCAGCCACACUGGGACUGAGACACGGCCCAGACUCCUACGGGAGGCAGCAGUGGGGAAUUUUGGACAAUGGGGGCAACCCUGAUCCAGCCAUGCCGCGUGCGGGAAGAAGGCC